CCACCUAAUGAUAAUCACAUCUCCACCGCUUUCUUCUCUCAAUAUCCAUCUAGAAAAUCAGAUCAUCCCUACCAACAUCUUCCAUCCGUACAAUCAAAGAUCCAAACCCGAUAACAAUGAAUUAGGCGAAAUCAGAUUUCUAUCCGAAAAGAAUACUUAUUUCAUAAAUCAUGGCGGUCCAUGUGUGAUGGUAUAUAUACGUGUAUUCUUAAACCCUUAUUCCGGGCGAGGGGGAGAUGGUGAUGGUGGUUGGUGUCGGUGAGAAAGGGGGUGACGGCGACGGAGAGAAAUGAGUGGAGCAGAAAUGCGCGGUCGAGCAGAAAGAAAGAGAAGGGAAGAGAAGAGAAGCAGGGAACAUUAAUGGUCCCUGCCGCCGCUGCCGGGUUUCCCCGACAUCCUUGGGCAGUCCGGCUAUUGCAGAUGCGACGCGACGGCAACAACUUAGUUUUUUCCCUUUUUAACUUUAAAGUUAUGAUUUUAGUUGUGAUUAUGUGAAACUGAUGUUGCGUGAAACUUGAUUUUUUAUUAGAUGUGCCAUUUGUAUACGUGAUUUUAUAUGAGAGUAUCUAUAUUUGGUAAUAGCAGGUAAAUAUGAAGUAAUUCCAUGGAACUUUUAAAACUAUCAAAUAAGUUUACCUAUCUUCUCACUGAAUACAUGCUUUCAAAUGGGAAUUUUUAGGUUUUCUAUUUACUAACUUUUGUUUGAAUUAUGCUUCACUCUUUUUUUGCUGGGUGGUUCCUGAUGCUGCAAUUUAUAAUCACUUUUGCUAAUUAUUGGCGCUCAAUGAAUCUUUAAUAUCAGGUUCAGUUACGUAUUUAGUAGAUUUCUUGAAAGAAAUUGGUAGGCGAAUUCUAAUAGAUGUUUGCCUUUUUGUAGUCAAAAUUGAAUACCUGAAUUGCAUAAAUCUACCAUUGUUUGGGUUUUUAUUUUUUAUUACUUGAAUUGUAUUACAUUAUUAACUUUAAUUGCUUCAGUUUGUUGUCUUAUAGGCUCUAUGGAAAGGUCUUAUAAACGAGGAACAACAACUCCUUAUUGCCCCAAGUUUCUGAUAUCAAAAUUGCAUGUUAUUGUUUCACGCUAAUCACUGUGAUCAUAGAGUUACCAAGCUCAUCGAAGAACGCUUUGAAUAGUAAAAGACACUAAUUGGUGCAGGGUGAGGGUGAUGGGCUCUGGUUGGUAGAGGGAGGAGAUACCAUGCGUCUACAAUAGUCUUUCUUAGCCCACGCGUCACAAGAAGCCAUUUUCCAUCCGGUGGUCUUUUUUCAUAUCCCCACAUGUUGCUUCAUCUUUCAGAAGUUGUAGUUAUUUCUUCAUAUCCACAAGCAAAAAUAUAGCUAUUCAGGAUCUGCCACUAUCAACUCUGAUUUGAGCCCUGUGGCCAAUUGGCCAUCUAUCAUUAUCUUCAGUCAUAAUCGAUGUCCAACGAUCAAACAUAUUUAAUACCCGUAAUUGACAAUUUUUUAACCUUUUUUUGGGUGUUUAAGAUAUGUUGGAUUCUACAAGGGAGUAUAGAGUGCAGGAGCGGCGGUAGCAUGGGAAGCCAAUUAUAUAUGUUUAGUUUUUAACCGUUUUUGGGUGUUUAAGAUAUGUUUACAAAUUAAACCCAACUUAGAAGAAGAAGAUGAAAACCGUUCAGUUUCUUUUCUGAUUUUGAAGUUGUAAAUGUUGUGUGUGCAACGUUGUUAUUUGAAUUGUAGAUUGUGUUGGGAAGCUAAUUAAAUAUGUUUCAUGAAUUUCUUUCAUGUUUCUAUGA